GAUGACCUUUGGCGGCGUGCUUAACACAUGCAAGUCGAACGAAGCACUUUAUUUGAUUUCCUUCGGGAUUGAUUAUUUUGUGACUGAGUGGCGGACGGGUGAGUAAUGCGUGGGUAACCUGCCUUGUACAGGGGGAUAACAGUUGGAAACGGCUGCUAAUACCGCAUAAGCGCACAGCAUCGCAUGAUGCAGUGUGAAAAACUCCGGUGGUAUAAGAUGGACCCGCGUUGGAUUAGCUAGUUGGUGAGGUAACGGCCCACCAAGGCGACGAUCCAUAGCCGACCUGAGAGGGUGACCGGCCACAUUGGGACUGAGACACGGCCCAAAUUCUUACGGGAGGCAGCAGUGGGGAAUUUUGCACAAUGGGCGAAAGCCUGAUGCAGCGACGCCGCGUGAGCGAAGAAGUAUUUCGGUAUGUAAAGCUUUAUCAGCAGGGAAGAUAAUGACGGUACCUGACUAAGAAGCACCGGCUAAAUACGUGCCAGCAGCCGCGGUAAUACGUAUGGUGCAAGCGUUAUCCGGAUUUACUGGGUGUAAAGGGAGCGCAGGCGGUGCGGCAAGUCUGAUGUGAAAGCCCGGGGCUCAACCCCGGUACUGCAUUGGAAACUGUCGUACUAGAGUGUCGGAGGGGUAAGCGGAAUUCCUAGUGUAGCGGUGAAAUGCGUAGAUAUUAGGAGGAACACCAGUGGCGAAGGCGGCUUACUGGACGAUAACUGACGCUGAGGCUCGAAAGCGUGGGGAGCAAACAGGAUUAGAUACCCUGGUAGUCCACGCCGUAAACGAUG
rnacentral:rRNA from 1 species